GUCUACGGCCAUACCACCCUAAACAUGCCCAAUCUCGCCUGAUCUCAGAAGCUAAACUGGGUGGGACCUGGUUAGUACCUGGAUGGGAAAAGAAUGAGCUCCAGUACCAUCCAGU
rnacentral:rRNA from 1 species